rnacentral:lncRNA from 1 species
UCCUGGACGGUUGGGUUGAUGCACCUGUGUGGCUGGGUCAGUGUGCCUGUACGCUUGGGUUGAUGCACCUGUGUGGCUGGGUCAGUGUGCCUGUACGGUUGGGUUGAUGCACCUGUGUGGCUGGGUCAGUAAACCUGUACCUGAGGGCUUUGUGCUAGGGGGGCGCUUGUGGAACGGUCAGAGCAUGAGCGAUGCUUGACACGGGAUUAAACUGGGGGCGUGCAAAAACGCUCCUGCAUUUCUGCCCCUUGACUUAAUUCACUGAGGCAUGGGUGAAAAACUCCCGGGUUUCUGUUCAUGGCUGCAAAACAGUAGAUGCUGCUGCUGUUGCUAUGUUUGAUUUACAGAAAUGCAAAGUACUUCCAUUUUAUAUGCUUCCAUCUUCUUUUAAAAAAUUAAUUUGCCUACAGUAAAAAGGUAACCGGUUUUAGGCUUUUUACAGGGAUUUUUUUUUUUACAAAAAUAUAGUGUUGAGGCCAUAUUUGACUUGAAAGUGUACCAGUGAAAACAAGGAUGUUCAGAAAAGAAACUGAUGGCUAGUGGUGACUCAGGAGAAUGGAGUAUGCUGCAUUUCCAACACUUCUUCGUCCAUGCUAUCCAGGACUCUUCUUCGCAGCUUAGAUACAGCUGGGGGUGGGUGGGGGGGAGGAAGAGCAGAACUGCAACAGAUUUUGAGCUUUAUUUUUCAUUGUAAACAGCCACUCUUUAGUUAUAAUGGUUCUAAGCAAAAUUUCACAGAUCCGUCAAACGUAAUCUAUGCAGAAAUGCCUGAGUAUGCAGAGAAAAGUGGAACAACUGUUGUGAGGGGUGAAUUUACCUCCCUUGCGUCAGUGAAGAUGCCCAAGGAAAACGCUUUGAAAAUGUCACCAGCGUUCAGGUUCUCGUGGCAGGUUCGCCCAGACGUGAGCACAGCAAAAGGCCAAAGGUUGGGUUGCUGCGUUGGGUGUUUUUUUUUUUUUUUUCCUCC